GAAGACAGAUGGGAUAGCCCUGGGGACAUGUGGAUGAUGACGCAGGCGCACGCCACCAUGUCAGGGACAGGUGAUCGGUGCUCUGUAGGUGCUGACCAGGGAAGACACACCUGCCCCGCCCUGCUGGCUGCCUCCGCGGGAGAAGGGCUCGUCAGUCUGGCCUCCUCUCUCUUGCAGCCCUGGCAGAUUCAGAAGCUUCCACCAACGCUGCAGGUGGAAUUGCCCAUGGAUCAGAGCUGUCGCGGGACAGGGAGGCUGUGGUCAUCGUCAUGCUCCACGUGGCGGUGGAUGAGCAUCUUCGGCACCUUCAUCCUUGAAAAAAUCUUGAAAGACACGAAAAACAAGUGGAUGCUCUCAGUCAGGGAUGGGAGGCUGGCACCGCACGCCGAGCUUGGCUCCGCCGAGGCAGAGACUGACCAGGGCAGCAUGGAACCGAAGUUCCACAUGGGGAAUUUUCCUAUGGUUCCAAACUUGUGCUGUUAACGACGGAACAUUUUUUUCUUGUCAUUUUUGGUGGAAAUUUCUGAUCAAUGGCUUUUUAAAAUUAUAAACACAGCAUGUAGAAAAUAAUGAAGGCACAAAGGAGAAAAUAAAAAAGAACCAUAAUCUCA
rnacentral:lncRNA from 1 species